UACGUAGGGUGCAAGCGUUGUCCGGAAUUAUUGGGCGUAAAGAGCUCGUAGGCGGUUUGUCGCGUCGGCUGUGAAAACUCGGGGCUCAACCCCGAGCCUGCAGUCGAUACGGGCAAACUAGAGUGUGGUAGGGGAGACUGGAAUUCCUGGUGUAGCGGUGAAAUGCGCAGAUAUCAGGAGGAACACCGGCGGCGAAGGCGGGUCUCUGGGCAGUAACUGACGCUGAGGAGCGAAAGCGUGGGGAGCGAACAGG
rnacentral:rRNA from 1 species